GUACCUUCUACUAGUGAUGGAGCUGAGCAUGUUGAAGUAUGCACUGGGGAAGCAAACGAUUCGCCAUUUGAAGAAGAACUACAUGCAGUUGGUGAAGAUAUUUGUAAAUCCCAGUCUCCAUGUAAAUCGUGCCAUCGUCUUAAGAAAAAACUUACAUCUUUACAAAAGACUUUAAGCUGGUAUAAAAGACUUUAAGCUGCACUUUAUCCGUGCUUGGAACAGCAAAGACAGCAGUUACAAGACCUAACAGAUGAUGCAGAUCAAAUAUUAAAUAGCUCUGGGAAUAAAAGUACUCGCAAAUGUACUAAAUGCAAAGCUCCAAUGAAAGGACAUCCUCGAGGUCAAUGCUUCACU